GCGGUAUGCUUAACACAUGCAAGUCGAACGGUAGCAGGCCUUCGGGCGCUGACGAGUGGCGGACGGGUGAGUAAUGCAUAGGAAUCUGCCUAUUAGUGGGGGAUAACGUGGGGAAACUCACGCUAAUACCGCAUACGACCUACGGGUGAAAGCUGGGGACCUUCGGGCCUGGCGCUAAUAGAUGAGCCUAUGUUGGAUUAGCUAGUUGGUAGGGUAAAGGCCUACCAAGGCGACGAUCCAUAGCUGGUCUGAGAGGAUGAUCAGCCACACUGGGACUGAGACACGGCCCAGACUCCUACGGGAGGCAGCAGUGGGGAAUAUUGGACAAUGGGCGAAAGCCUGAUCCAGCAAUACCGCGUGUGUGAAGAAGCCUGAGGGUUGUAAAGCACUUUCAAUGGGAAGGAAUACCUACCGGUUAAUACCCGGUAGACUGACAUUACCCAUACAAGAAGCACCGGCUAACUCCGUGCCA
rnacentral:rRNA from 1 species